rnacentral:rRNA from 1 species
GACGAACGCUGGCGGCGUGCCUAACACAUGCAAGUCGAGCGGAGGCAGCGGAGGAGCAAUCUGAAGCUGCCUGAGCGGCGGACGGGUGAGUAACGCGUGAGCAAUCUGCCUUUCACAGGGGGAUAACGCAGCGAAAGCUGCACUAAUACCGCAUGAAACCGCUGGGGUGAUGCCCCGGUGGUCAAAGGAGCAAUCCGGUGAGAGAUGAGCUCGCGUCCGAUUAGGUAGUUGGUGAGGUAACGGCCCACCAAGCCAAUGAUCGGUAGCCGGCCGGAGAGGGUGAGCGGCCACAUGGGGACUGAGACACGGCCCAAACUCCUACGGGAGGCAGCAGUGUGGAAUAGUGGACAAUGGGGGAAACCCUGAUGCAGCGACGCCGCGUGAGCGAUGAAGUAGUUCGGUAUGUAAAGCUCUAUCAGCAGGGAAGAAAAUGACGGUACCUGACUAAGAAGCACCGGCUAAAUACGUGCCAGCAGCCGCCGCGG